GAGGUUUCGUGGGAAUAAAUGUCUCCAACCUGAUCAGAACGCAGCCUGUAUCUGUGGAACAGACCAACUGUUAGGAGCUGUUUGGAACGCACGUGCUAAGAGCUUCGAAAAUGGCAGAAAAUGAUAAACAUAAGAAAAAAGGUAAGAAGAAAUCUCUCGGCGAGCUUCAAAGAGAGGCAAAAUGUGAGAUCGAACCUUCUGAUGAAGUAGUAAAACUUGAUUGUAAAGAUUGGCCCUUAUUAUUUAAGAAUUUUGACAAAAUGCUGACACGUACAAAACACUUUACUCCGUUAUUGUAUGGUUCUACUCCACUCAAUCGCAACUUAAGUGAAUAUAUAAAGUCAGGCUGCAUCAAUCUGGAUAAACCAUGUAAUCCAUCGUCACACGAAGUUGUGGCUUGGAUAAAGAAAAUCUUGAGAGUAGAAAAAACAGGUCACUCUGGUACAUUGGAUCCUAAAGUGUCAGGAUGCUUGAUAGUCUGUAUAGACAGGGCAACUAGAUUAGCUAAAUCGCAACAAUCUGCUGGCAAGGAAUAUGUUGCUGUGUUUAAACUUCAUUCAGCUCCGGAAAGUUUACAGAAAAUACAACAAGCAUUGGAGAAACUGCGAGGUGCUUUGUUUCAAAGGCCACCAAUUAUAUCAGCAGUCAAGAGACAGCUGCGUGUUAGGACAGUCUAUGACAGUACAUUACUUGAUUAUGACAGUGCACGACACAUGGGAGUGUUUCAAGUCAGUUGUGAAGCUGGCUCAUAUAUUAGAACUUUAUGUGUCCAUCUUGGGCUUUUCCUAGGUACUGGUUGUCACAUGCAAGAACUUAGACGAAUUCGUUCUGGCAUUCAAUCUGAAAAUGACAAUAUGGUUACUAUGCAUGAUAUCCUUGAUGCCCAAUGGUUAUAUGACAAUCACGGAGACGAAUCAUACCUGAGAAGAGUAAUAAAACCAUUGGAAACAUUAUUAGUGAAUCAUAAGAGAAUCAUUAUAAAAGAUAGUGCUGUGAACGCUAUUUGUUAUGGAGCACAAAUAAUGUUGCCAGGCGUUCUAAUGUAUGACUCACAUAUUGAAAUAAAUCAAGAAGUCGUAAUAGUGACCACUAAGGGCGAAGCUAUAGCACUUGCCAUAGCAUUAAUGACCUCUGCAACUAUGGCUGCAUGCGAUCAUGGAACUGCUGCAAAGAUUAAAAGGGUAAUUAUGGAGAGAGAUGCGUAUCCCAGAAAGUGGGGUUUGGGGCCAAAAUCGUCGACUAAAAAACGUAUGAUAAUUGAGGGAAAAUUAGAUAAAUAUGGAAAGCCAAAUGAAAACACCCCAGCUGAAUGGUUAGAAAAUUAUACCUAUUAUUCCGGAAGUGAACCAACAGUAUCAGUUAAGACCGAAAAUAACGAUGAAACUGUGGAAACUGUUGGUAAAAAACGUAAAAGGGAAAGCGAAUCGAGUACAAUAGAGCCAAAUGUGUCUAUAAAACAAGAAGUGUCUAUUAAAGUGGAGGAUGCAGAAACAUCGUCCCCAAAAGAUAAAAAGAAAGAAAAGAAAGAAAAGAAAAAAAAGAGAAAGAAGGAAAAAUCGGAAAGCGAAGAUUCGACACUUGCGGAAGGUGAUUCUUCCGUAAAGAAAGAAAAAAAGAAGAAAAAGAAAAAAAAUAAGGAUGGAGAAACUGCAUCGAGUUAAGAACUUAUAUUACAAAAAAAAAUUAAAUUUUUAUUUGAAAAUAAAAAAAUGUUAUGAGUGUACUCAUUGGUGAGCAUCUCGUAUGGCCAUUUUCUAUCCCAGACACAUUUACGCCUAUUGUAUUUAACUUACUUUCCCUUUUACGUCUUUUACCAACUGUUUCAAUAUCAAUCGUCAUUCAACAAGAAACCACUACAACAGCACGUCGUAGCAGAAAAUAAUUACACAAAUUUAGAUAUACGAUAUAAUAGAUUUAUAUUAAAAAUAUCUUAUUUUCUUAUAUAGUAAUUUGUUAAUUUCCUUUCACAAUUCUAACUGCAUAUUUAAAAGACAAAAGAAAUACAAUAGAUUUUUUCUUUGGCAUCAUUUAGUAUUCUUCCUUUUUUUAAAGAUUUGCACGUAGGUAUAUUGUAAAACUCAAGAAUUUAUAUUCUCACUAUUUAACAGUA
rnacentral:misc_RNA from 1 species